rnacentral:rRNA from 1 species
GACGAACGCUGGCGGCGUGCUUAACACAUGCAAGUCGAGCGGGUAAGGCCCUUUCGGGGGUACACGAGCGGCGAACGGGUGAGUAACACGUGGGUGACCUGCCCUCAGCUCUGGGAUAAGCCUGGGAAACUGGGUCUAAUACCGGAUAUGACUCCAUGACGCAUGUUGUGGGGUGGAAAGCCUUGUGCGGCUGAGGAUGGGCCCGCGGCCUAUCAGCUUGUUGGGGGGUGAUGGCCUACCAAGGCGACGACGGGUAGCCGGCCUGAGAGGGCGACCGGCCACACUGGGACUGAGACACGGCCCAGACUCCUACGGGAGGCAGCAGUGGGGAAUCUUGCGCAAUGGGCGAAAGCCUGACGCAGCGACGCCGCGUGAGGGAUGACGGCCU